GCAUCGGUGGUUGAGUGGUAGAAUGCUCGCCUGCCACGCGGGCAGCCCGGGUUCAAUUCCCGGCCGAUGCA
rnacentral:tRNA from 1 species